CCCUUAGAUGUUCUGGGCCCACGCGCGCUACACUGAAGGGCUCAGCGUGUUUUCCCUUCCCGAGAGGGACGGGUAACCCGCUGAACCCCCUUCGUGGUAGGGAUCGGAGCUUGCAAUUGUUCUCCGUGAACCAGGAAUUCCCAGUAAGCGCAAGUCAUAAGCUUGCGUUGAUUACGUCCCUGCCCUUUGUACACACCGCCCGUCGCUACUACCGAUUGAACGUUUUAGUGAGGUAUUUGGACUGGGCCUUGGGAGGUUUCGGCCUCCCUUGUUGCUCGGAAAGACUCCCAAACUUGAGCGUUUAGAGGAAGUAAAAGUCGUAACA
rnacentral:rRNA from 1 species